rnacentral:rRNA from 1 species
CGGGUGAGUAACGCGUGGGUAACCUGCCUCAUACAGGGGGAUAACAGUUAGAAAUGACUGCUAAUACCGCAUAAGACCACAGCACUGCAUGGUGCAGUGGUAAAAACUCCGGUGGUAUGAGAUGGACCCGCGUCUGAUUAGCCAGUUGGCAGGGUAACGGCCUACCAAAGCGACGAUCAGUAGCCGGCCUGAGAGGGUGAACGGCCACAUUGCGACUGAGACACGGCCCAAACUCCUACGGAAGGCAGCAG